rfam:Gossypium raimondii chromosome 2, whole genome shotgun sequence.
CGCGUCAGUGUGCUUUGCUGACGUGGACACAAAUCACGAUUAUGUGGACGCGAUUUUCUGCCACGUCAGCAAACCGCGCUGGCGUGG